GAUGAACGCUGACAGAAUGCUUAACACAUGCAAGUCUUUGGCGAAUCUGUGCUUGCACAGGCUAGCCAAGGCGGACGGGUGAGUAACGCGUAAAGAACUUGCCCUGCAGACAGGGAUAACAGACGGAAACGACUGAUAACACCUGAUACAGUUGCCGGCACGCAUGUGCCCGGCAAUGAAAAGAGAUGCUGCAGGAGAGCUUUGCGUCCUAUUAGCUUGUUGGUGAGGUGACGGCUCACCAAGGCGAUGAUAGGUAGCCGGCCUGAGAGGGUGAACGGCCACAAGGGGACUGAGAUACGGCCCUUACUCCUACGGGAGGCAGCAGUGGGGAAUAUUGGACAAUGGGGGCAACCCUGAUCCAGCAAUUCUGUGUGCACGAAGAAGGUUUUCGGAUUGUAAAGUGCUUUCAGCAGGGAAGAAGAAAGUGACGGUACCUGCAGAAGAAGCGACGGCUAAAUACGUG
rnacentral:rRNA from 1 species